CCCGCACAAGCGGUGGAGCAUGUGGUUUAAUCGAUGAUACGCGAGGAACCUUACCUGGGCUCAAAUGUAUGUUGACGUAUUCUGAAAGGGAUACUUCUUCGGACAAUAUACAAGGUGCUGCAUGGUUGUCGUCAGCUCGUGCCGUGAGGUGUCGGGUUAAGUCCCAUAACGAGCGCAACCCCUAUCAUUAGUUGCCAUCAGGUCAAGCUGGGGACUCUAAUGAAACUGCCUACGCGAGUAGUGAGGAAGGUGGGGAUGACGUCAAAUCAGCACGGCCCUUACGUCCAGGGCUACACACGUGCUACAAUGGCCGGUACAAAGGGCAGCUACCUGGUGACAGGAUGCUAAUCUCAAAAGCCGGUCUCAGUUCGGAUCGGAGUCUGCAACCCGACUCCGUGAAGCUGGAAUCGCUAGUAAUCGCGCAUCAGCCAUGGCGCGGUGAAUACGUUCCCGGGCCUU
rnacentral:rRNA from 1 species